AUGCUCGCCGCCUGUGCAGGGCCGUCUGUGCUGAGCUCGUGUCCUCCAGUCGUUGGUUGUCACCUGGUACGUAGUUUAAACUCUCAGUCUGACGUACGAGUCGCUGUGAUGACGCUUUUUCCUGCCAUUCGUAGUUUCCACCAGAGGUCUGCCGACCGGUGAUGGCCCAAUCCUUCCUUGGAUGUCUGAGCGAACACUGAAGCUCUUCAGCUCGUCUCGUAGCCUCUUCUCUCAGAACUAACUCUUACUUUGUGUCUCAGGUGAACGUGACGCUGCGUCAAUGACCUCCUGCAGAGAUGCUCGCCGCCUGUGCAGGUGUGUGUAAUGCUUGUAUUCUGUGGAUCACCUACACGUCCAGUCCUGCUGCCGUCGCUGUGAUGACGCUUUUUCCUGCCAUUCGUAGUUUCCUCCAGAGGUCUGCCGACCGGUGAUGGCCCAAUCCUUCCUUGGAUGUCUGAGCGAAUUGUGUUGUCGUUGUGACGUCCGCUCAGUUUUAUGUUCGCUGACGUGUCUUUGUCCUGCAGGUCGACUGUAAACCAGGAGCUGCUCCGAGGACCCAGAAGAUUUCUCCACGUUUCUCUUCUCAAAGAAAUAAAAAAUGAAACUGAACUCGUUGAAUUGUUUGUUGUGAUUGUGCAGCAUUAGAUGAACUCGUG
rnacentral:lncRNA from 1 species